rnacentral:lncRNA from 1 species
UACCAUCUGCUAUAGUUUAAAAAUUACCCUAAAAAGUAUGUCAUCUAUUUAUAGUGCUCUGAAAUUUGCUGACAAAAAUACCCUUCGGGAGUUUCUGCGGCCGCACAAUUUGGCUGCGGACCGCACUUUCUUCUGUUGCUCUUACAGUAGGAUGGAUUCUGCGUCCACAUAAUAACUUCUACGGCCGCACUUUAGCUUCUGUGGCCACACAAUUUGACUGUGAAUGCACUUUAAGGAGGCUUUGAAUUUGGUCCUUUGCAACGUCUAUGAUCUUUCCAAGCUUGUCAGUGCAAACAGCUUCUGCGCACGCACAAUUUAGUAUGUGGACCGCGCUGUUGCUAAACUCUUCUGAAGCUUCAAGGGUAAAUUUGUGGCCGCACUUGUAUUUCUGCGGGCUGUAUCUUCAUCUAUGACUGCAGAAUAAGUUUGCAUACCGCACAAUCCUUUGCACUGCUCCUCUUUGACUAGUUGAGCUGGAACAUCUCCUUCUUGAGUUAUAUUUCUUCAUUGAGCUCACAUCCUCUAGUAUGCCUGCAAUUCACAUAAUUUUAUUAAAUUCAAAAACCAAAAUUACUAUUUUCGGACUAAAAACUAAAGUAAAAAGGUGCUAAUAAGUGGUUAAAAUCCACACUUACCCCCUCCCCUCACUAAACCGUCCAAGAACCAAACCACAACUAUGGCCACCAAUUUCAUCCAUCAAAAUCACAAAGCUCCAGUAAUUGAGAUUAUUUUAAUGCCUUUUUAUUCCUACAAUGACUAAAUUUUAAAAUCAUAAAGUAAUCCUAUAUAACUUUUAUAAGGCAGUGAAAGAGUUAAUCGAAAAAAUGAUCAAAAAAGGUAUUUAGAUAUUGCCGAAAAAAUAUUUUCGGCGACUGCAAACCUUACCCAUUCUUCACCUUUAUCGUUCACUCUCUUCUAACUUUUAAAGUAAGAACCAUCCGUGCAUUACUAUCUUCAAACCAGCAGAAAAAAUUCUCUAACAACCCAUUUAUCUCUUAUCUCCUCUCAUCUCUUUUGUUCCUUCCUCAAAAUAUAACUCAUGUUAAAUUAGCCAUACCCUCUUCUCUUUAUUUAAUUUCCCAAUAAGGAUUGGUGAAGAGGUGAUGUAUACUGACAUGAAUAAAUUGGAGGAGGAAAAAAGCAGAGGCGAGAGACGAGAAAGAUAGGAAACGAUAGAGAGAAUUAUACAAAAGGGAUGGGGAGGGGAAAAUUAAGGGAUGAGAUUUUCUAGAUGAGCUUUGAAUUGGGGGAAAGAUUCGGAUGAGAAGUGGAGCAAUGGAAAGAGGGAGGCCUUGGGGUUCCAUUUUCG